rnacentral:rRNA from 1 species
AAUAUUGGUCAAUGGGCGGGAGCCUGAACCAUCCAUGCCUCGUGCGUGACGAAAGCCGUAUGGGUCGUAAACCGCUUUUACACGGGAACAACCGCAGCUACGUGUAGCUGCCUGAGGGUUCCCUGGGCAUAAGGAUCGGCUAACCCCGUUCCAGCAGCCGCGGUAAUACGGAGGAUCCGAGGGUUAUACGGAAUGAUUGGGUUUAAAGGGUGCGUAGGCGGCACUUUAAGUCAGGGGUGAAAUACAGCGGCUCAACCGUUGCAGUGCCCUUGAUACGGAAGUGCUUGAAUGUGGCCGAAGGAGGCGGAACGGGACAAGUAGCGGUGAAAUGCAUAGAUAUGUCCCAGAAACCCGAUUGCGAAGGCAGCUUCCUAGACCGUUAUUGACGCUGAUGCACGAAAGCGUGGGGAUCGAACA